CUUUAUUCUCUGGGCUUUUUUUAAAAAUUACCAUGGUAUUUUCUGCUUUGAAGGAAUUGUCAACAGUACUCAAUGAGUAUUUGAGUUAGUAAUUUAACUUAUAAAGUUCCUACUAUAUGCAAGAUGUUCUACACUCUGGAGAUAUCAACAUCCAUAUGAUAUGAGCCCUACUCUCAAGUAUUUCAGGAUCCAGUGGGUAUGAAUAACUCUAUAGAAAUAACUGUUAGAGAGGGGAAAAUGAGAGAAGGGUCAAGAAAAGAAUAGAGAAAGUGCUAUGAGGAAUUUGAGAUGGAAGAGAUCAUUUUCAUCUGUAGAAGGGGAAGGAGGAGGAGAUUCUAAAUAAAUAUUUGAAAUUUUUCAUUCAAGUCAUUUGGAGAAGAGGUCACAAUGGAUAACUGCUCAUGGCCAGGAUCUAAGAUAAAUUAUUCUAAAAACUAAAGAUAUAAUACUUUAGUCUUAGCCUCUAAAUUGGUCCUAGUAUUCUCAGGCUAUUCCCAUGGGAACAUCCCACUUUUCCUUCAGAUUACCAGACUUUACCAAAAAAAAAAGAUGCUUCCAGGGUGGUUUGUCAAGUUCCCCAAAACCUCAAAGCACUUCUUUGUUCAUCAGCCACAUGUAGCCAGUUCCUGAGUGGGUAAUCAGCAGCUAUACAAGAGCUCCUAAGAGACAAAGGUGAUGAACUGCAAAUCAGAAGACCCAAGUGUAAAGAACACAGCUCAACAACUGCAAACAACGUACAUGUCAUAUGUAGUUCCCAAGAACAAAUAAAUUGUAGCUUGGAGGAAAAAAUUCAUAAAUGGCAAUCAACCAAGAAACUUUUGUAGACCAAGCUACAGGACAUUCAGGUAGUAUUGCAAGCAUUUUACCCUCUACCAUCUUGUCCUGAAAACAUGGCCUCCAAGAAUGAGCCCUCCUCCUCCAAAAGGCUUGGGGUUGGAAGAGGUUUGUUGCCAGUCAUGAACACUGCUACUGGAUGUCAAAAACGGCAGGCUCUUACUUUUCCUUCUAUAGUUGAAGGGAGUCAUGACUCUCAGGUUGAAGCAAUGCCUAGCAUGUUGAAGUUACUAUCCCCAGAAGCUCUUUUGCAGAAAAUUCCUUUGAAGAGCACUAAUGCUCUCCUUCAAGAGAAGCCAGAAGAAAGUCUUCUUCCUUUAUCAAAUGUUCAGAGGGAAUCAUCAGAUGAUGACACCCCAAACCCUCUAAAGGAAAUGGGGGGUCCAUCAGCAGCAUCUGUUGAAAGAGACAUGCCAUUCAACACCAAGGAGAUGCAUUCAGAAGAGAGAGAGGAAGAACUACAACAGCUCAUAAUGAAACUGAAGGAUUCCUUGUCUGUCCAAGUACAAACAGAUCAACCAUCUUCAGCAAAGCUGGAUCUGUAUUUCCAAGCAGCUGAAGUGAGCAAGGCCUUUUCUAACCUCAUUGACCAAUUGACCUUAAGAACCUGGAAAUGAGAGGAUUCUGGGACCAUUUUAAUUUCUUCAAGACACAGUUUCUUCACCUAUAAAAUGGAGGUAAUCAUCCAAGACUCAAAGGACUCAACAAAAAAAAGGCUAUCUGCCAUCAUAGAAAGAACUGACAGAGUCUGAAUGCAGAUCAGAACAUGCCAUUCUUCACUUUAUUCCUUCAUGAAUUUCUCUUUAGUAUAAGUGAUGUGUGUCUUCUUUCACAACAUGACAAAAGAAUGGAACUAUGUAUUUCAUGAUAUUGCAUGUACAAUCUAUAUUGCAUCCACCAUAUGGAGGGGGAGGGAUGAAGAAGGGAGAGAAGAGGAAGGGAAGCAGAGAAUAGAGAUUAUAAAAUGUGAGAAAGUGAUUAUUAAAGUUCUAUCUACAUGGAAUCUGGAAAAUUAAAAUAAAAGAUAAAGAAUAUGAGAAAGGACUAUGAAA
rnacentral:lncRNA from 1 species